AAUGAACGCUGGCGGCAGGCCUAAAACAUGCAAGUCGAACGCCCUAGCAAUAGGGAGUGGCGCACGGGCGAGUAACAUGUGGGAAUAUGCCUUUUGGUACGGAACAACGUUUGGAAACGAACGCUAAUACCGUAUGGUCCCUCCGGGGUAAAGAUUUAUCGCCAAAAGAUUAGCCCGCACUAGAUUAGCUAGUUGGUAAGGUAAUGGCUUACCAAGGCGACGAUCUAUAGCUGUUCUGAGAGGAAGAUCAGCCACACUGGGACUGAGACACGGCCCAGACUCCUACGGGAGGCAGCAGUUAGGAAUAUUGGACAAUGGGCGCAAGCCUGAUCCAGCCAUGCCGCGUGAGUGAUGAAGGCCUUCGGGUUGUAAAGCUCUUUAGCCGACGAAUAUAAUACCUGGUGUGGAUGAUGGUACCGGAAUAAGAGGCACCGGCUAACUACGUGCCAG
rnacentral:rRNA from 1 species